CCUACGGGAGGCAGCAGUGGGGAAUAUUUGGCAAUUUGCUCAAGCCUGACCCAGCAACUCCUCGUGAAGGAAGACGGCCCUCCGGUUGUAAACUUUCUUUAUUCGGGACGUAACAAAUGUCGGUACCGAAUGAAUAAGCCACGGCUAAAUACGUGCCAGCAGCCGCGGUACUACGUAGGUGGCAAGCGUUAUCCGGAUUUACUGGGUGUAAAGGGCGUGUAGGCGGGAGAGCAAGUCAGACGUGAAAUUCCAGGGCUCAACCCUGGAACUGCGUUUGAAACUGUUCUUCUUGAGUGAUGGAGAGGCAGGCGGAAGUCGGGGUGUAGCGGUGAAAUGCGUAGAUAUACGGAAGAACACCAGUGGCGAAGGCAGCCUGCUGGACAUUAACUGACGCUGAGGCGCGAAAGCGUGGGGAGCAAACAGGAUUAGAUACCCGAGUAGUC
rnacentral:rRNA from 1 species